rnacentral:rRNA from 1 species
UACGUAGGGUGCAAGCGUUGUCCGGAAUUAUUGGGCGUAAAGAGCUCGUAGGCGGUUUGUCGCGUCUGCUGUGAAAUCCCGAGGCUCAACCUCGGGCCUGCAGUGGGUACGGGCAGACUAGAGUGCGGUAGGGGAGACUGGAAUUCCUGGUGUAGCGGUGGAAUGCGCAGAUAUCAGGAGGAACACCGGUGGCGAAGGCGGGUCUCUGGGCAGUAACUGACGCUGAGGAGCGAAAGCGUGGGGAGCGAACAGG